UUGCUCUCAAGAAGUUAGCGGCGGACGGGUGAGUAACACGUGGGUAACCUGCCCAUAAGACUGGGAUAACUCCGGGAAACCGGGGCUAAUACCGGAUAACAUUUUGAACUGCAUGGUUCGAAAUUGAAAGGCGGCUUCGGCUGUCACUUAUGGAUGGACCCGCGUCGCAUUAGCUAGUUGGUGAGGUAACGGCUCACCAAGGCAACGAUGCGUAGCCGACCUGAGAGGGUGAUCGGCCACACUGGGACUGAGACACGGCCCAGACUCCUACGGGAGGCAGCAGUAGGGAAUCUUCCGCAAUGGACGAAAGUCUGACGGAGCAACGCCGCGUGAGUGAUGAAGGCUUUCGGGUCGUAAAACUCUGUUGUUAGGGAAGAACAAGUGCUAGUUGAAUAAGCUGGCACCUUGACGGUACCUAACCAGAAAGCCACGGCUAACUACGUGCCAGCAGCCGCGGUAAUACGUAGGUGGCAAGCGUUAUCCGGAAUUAUUGGGCGUAAAGCGCGCGCAGGUGGUUUCUUAAGUCUGAUGUGAAAGCCCACGGCUCAACCGUGGAGGGUCAUUGGAAACUGGGAGACUUGAGUGCAGA
rnacentral:rRNA from 1 species